ensembl:snRNA U6 U6 spliceosomal RNA
AUGCUCACUUUGGCAGUACGUAUACUAAAAUUGGAACAGUACUGAGAUUAGCAUGGCCCCUGCACAAAUAUGUGAAGCAUUCCAUAUUUUU